CUCUCUCUCUCUCUCUCUCUCUCUCUCUCUCUCUCUCUCUCUCUCUCUCUCUCUCUCUCUCUCUCUCUCUCUCUCUCUCUCUCUCUCUCUCUCUGUGAGUUUUGAUUUCGAUUUGUUUUUGUCUUGGUAAAGAAAGUUGGAGGAGGCAGAGAAGCUUGAUGGAGGAGGACGGAGAAUUCACGAGGUGGAGGAAGUGAGGUGGAGGAAGCUGGACGAACAGACAGCGGAAGAGGCGGGAUGAAAAGGCGAAGGAGGAGGCAUGACGCUCAAGUUUGCCAGCGGUGGAGAGUUCAACAAGAAGAUGGCGGCCUCUAGAUUAGAGUGAUGAGAGGACGAGAUCUUUGUAGAAGCAGUUUUGAGUGAUGAGGUCUGACACAGAGGCCAAGCCGUGGACGUUAAUGGCAGCGUAGAAGCUGGAGACAGCUUCAGAGUUCAGACACAGAUGUGGGAGCUGUUCGGGACGCAACGUCGAUGGCUGUCUCCCACCACUCAGCUGCUUUUACAGACGGACUACAGGAUGUGAACUAUUGCCACCGAGUGACGGUUGUUGGUUUCAAACUAUUGCCAGAAAGGUUUAUUCUUUGGACUGGACACCUGAGAUGAACCAGAUUGUCAGUGCAUCUCAACAAGACACGCUCAGUUAGAAGAGAAAAGUGAUGGAAAAGGGAAAGACACAACCAAAGGGCCAAUUGAUAAAGUCCUGAAAAUGCAAUCGUUUAGAUCUUGAAAAGGUCAGACUUUUUUUGGAAUACGAUUAGUUAAAUUCUAUUUUUAUAUACUAAUAUAUAUCUAAAUGGGUAUAUCACUCUGCCCACCUGCACCAAACCAAACUCCCACGCUCACAGGUUUAUAUAUACUAUUUAUGUAUAAUUUAGAUACUGAAAAUGUAGGAGAUUGGCACAUUUCUCCAUUAGAGUUACUCCACAGUGGUCCUUUGCUUGAUUUUGAUCUUCUUCCAGGAUGUUGUUCUUCAAUGGCUGCCUUGAGUUUACCGUCUCUACCAAAUGUCCUUAUCUCAGACACUUGUGGAUAAGCUUAUGGUCUCUGUGAGUAACCAACUUGAACCGUAGAUCUACAUAGAUAGUUCAUUGUUUGUCUCAUAUAGUUUUGUUCAUCAAUUUUCAGGUCAAAGCUGCAGAGCCUUUUCAACCAGAUAUCUUUCCAUACUUCACAGGCCAGGAAUCUAAAAACAGAGACGCACAUAGCUACGAAAUGUUGUGUCUGAGACCCGCAAAUGUUUGAGACAAACAACUGUUGUUAGUUUAUUUCACUAUGUAUCUCUACAGACUCAGCUUUGUAUUGACAAGCUUUUUCAUGAGAAGGACAAUAUGCAUUUACAAAACAGCUUCCUUAUUGUUUUCAUAUCGUUAAAUACGUUGCUGCAAUUCUUCUGUGAUUUUUUCUUCAUGGGUUUACAUUCCCCUGUCACUAGAAACAUUCAAAAGUACACAUAAAGAUAUUGGUUUAAUGUUUGUGCGUUUGUGUGUGUUUUGACGUGUUUUUGACUACGUUCCGCAUAUAUUAUAACUUAAUUGUAUGAGAAAUAGCAUAAAAUUUUUACAGGAAAAUAUAACAAACCUACAAACACAAUGUAAUUUACCUAUAAGUGGCUCCGCUCACCCAUGGGUCUUCUUCGUUAGGGCUGCCAUAAGCCCUCAUAAGAACUUAGCGUAUUCCAAAAAAGGGUCACAAUAAAUAGACAAGAACACAAACUCUCAAUUAUGAGCUACUCAGCUGUUACCUCACCCACCCCUCUACAAACAACUAAGUGGGAGUUAUUAAGUCUACAAUAAUAUGUCAUCCAAACAAGAUCACUAAGAGAUACCACCACUGCUAUUAUUUUAUAAGAGAACUAGAUUUUGAUCCGCUCUCUAAAAACGCCGAUAACUUUUUACUAUUCUAAUAAAAUUCGAUUGAGUUUAUAACUUUUAUUUUAAAAUAAUAAUUUUCAAGUUUUUCUAUUUGAAUUUUCAAAAAAAUUGUUCUAUUAUACUAUUUGAUUUUCUUAUCCGAAAGACCCGCGAAUCGAUAGAUCCAGUGACCUGUGUAUAAUCCGGUUCAAAUUUAGUAAAAAGAAUUUUAAUUAAAAAUUCUAGAAAACCAGUAAAAAUCUAAAAAUAUGUACGAUCCGAUAUCAUUAUUAUGUAAAAACAAUAUAAUAAAUAAUUUUUUUCAAAAUAAAAUUAUUUAUAUAUUCAUAUUCGAUCGUUAAAUAAUACUAUGCAUGAAAAAAUUAUAUUUAAAUUUAAUGGAGUGUAUAGUUUGCAUAAAAAUUAGAAUUAUUAUAAUUCACAAAAUAUGGAAAGUAUUAAUUACCAUAAAUAUAGGGAAUAUUCAUAUUAUUAAUUUAAAUAAGUAAUAUAUGUGAGAUUUAUAUCUCUUACGAAUUAAAAAAUUACAUCGCUCUUUUAGGAUAAAAAUAAUACUAAAUUGUCUAUGUCAUCUUUUUCCAAAAUUUUAAUUUCAUUAUGUCAUACAUGUGAACUUUCCCAUAAACAAAAACAAACACAUGCAUUUACAUGUUUUUUUGGAACAUCAAUUUUACUU